UAAAGGGCCGCGGUAUUUUGACCGUGCAAAGGUAGCAUAAUCAUUAGUCUUCUAAUUAAAGGCUGGAAUGAAUGGUUGGACGAGGUAUUAGCUGUCUCGCUGAAAAAAAUCUAUAAUUUAUCUUUUUAGUCAAAAGACUGAAAUAGUAUUGGAGGACGAGAAGACCCUAUAGAGCUUUACAAUUUACUUAUUUAAUUUGUUUGGGUAUACUUUAGUUUUAUAAGGAAUUUGUUUCGUUGGGGUGACGGGAAGAUAAGAAUAACUCUUUUUAAAUUUUAACACUGAUGAGUGAGUAAUUGAUCCAUAAGAAUGAUUAAAAGACUAAGUUACCUUAGGGAUAACAGCGUAAUCUUUUUCGAGAGUUCUAAUCGACAAAAAGGGUUGCGACCUCGAUGUUGGACUAAGGGUUAUUUUUGGGUGUAGCAGCUCAAAGUUUAGGUCUGUUCGACCUUUGAAUCCUUACAU
rnacentral:rRNA from 1 species